rnacentral:rRNA from 1 species
GGGUUGUGAGGUUAAGCGACUAAGCGUACACGGUGGAUGCCCUGGCAGUCAGAGGCGAUGAAGGACGUGCUAAUCUGCGAAAAGCGCCGGCGAGGUGAUAUGAACCUUUGACCCGGCGAUGUCCGAAUGGGGAAACCCAGUGCAAUUCGUUGCACUAUCGUUAACUGAAUACAUAGGUUAACGAGGCGAACCGGGGGAACUGAAACAUCUAAGUACCCCGAGGAAAAGAAAUCAACCGAGAUUCCCCCAGUAGCGGCGAGCGAACGGGGAGCAGCCCAGAGUCUGAAUCAGCUUGUGUGUUAGUGGAAGCGUCUGGAAAGUCGCACGGUACAGGGUGACAGUCCCGUACACGAAAGCACACAGGUUGUGAACUCGAAGAGUAGGGCGGGACACGUGGUAUCCUGUCUGAAUAUGGGGGGACCAUCCUCCAAGGCUAAAUACUCCUGACUGACCGAUAGUGAACCAGUACCGUGAGGGAAAGGCGAAAAGAACCCCGGCGAGGGGAGUGAAAAAGAACCUGAAACCGUGUACGUACAAGCAGUGGGAGCACCUUCGUGGUGUGACUGCGUACCUUUUGUAUAAUGGGUCAGCGACUUAUAUUCUGUAGCAAGGUUAACCGUAUAGGGGAGCCGAAGGGAAACCGAGUCUUAACUGGGCGUUAAGUUGCAGGGUAUAGACCCGAAACCCGGUGAUCUAGCCAUGGGCAGGUUGAAGGUUGGGUAACACUAACUGGAGGACCGAACCGACUAAUGUUGAAAAAUUAGCGGAUGACUUGUGGCUGGGGGUGAAAGGCCAAUCAAACCGGGAGAUAGCUGGUUCUCCCCGAAAGCUAUUUAGGUAGCGCCUCGUGAACUCAUCUUCGGGGGUAGAGCACUGUUUCGGCUAGGGGGCCAUCCCGGCUUACCAACCCGAUGCAAACUACGAAUACCGAAGAAUGUUAUCACGGGAGACACACGGCGGGUGCUAACGUCCGUCGUGAAGAGGGAAACAACCCAGACCGCCAGCUAAGGUCCCAAAGUCAUGGUUAAGUGGGAAACGAUGUGGGAAGGCACAGACAGCCAGGAUGUUGGCUUAGAAGCAGCCAUCAUUUAAAGAAAGCGUAAUAGCUCACUGGUCGAGUCGGCCUGCGCGGAAGAUGUAACGGGGCUAAACCAUGCACCGAAGCUGCGGCAGCGACGCUUAGGCGUUGUUGGGUAGGGGAGCGUUCUGUAAGCCGUUGAAGGUGUCCUGUGAGGGGUGCUGGAGGUAUCAGAAGUGCGAAUGCUGACAUAAGUAACGAUAAAGCGGGUGAAAAGCCCGCUCGCCGGAAGACCAAGGGUUCCUGUCCAACGUUAAUCGGGGCAGGGUGAGUCGACCCCUAAGGCGAGGCCGAAAGGCGUAGUCGAUGGGAAACAGGUUAAUAUUCCUGUACUUGGUGUUACUGCGAAGGGGGGACGGAGAAGGCUAUGUUAGCCGGGCGACGGUUGUCCCGGUUUAAGCAUGUAGGCGGAGGUUCCAGGUAAAUCCGGUACCUUUUAACGCUGAGGUGUGAUGACGAGGCACUACGGUGCUGAAGUAACAAAUGCCCUGCUUCCAGGAAAAGCCUCUAAGCAUCAGGUAACAUCAAAUCGUACCCCAAACCGACACAGGUGGUCAGGUAGAGAAUACCAAGGCGCUUGAGAGAACUCGGGUGAAGGAACUAGGCAAAAUGGUGCCGUAACUUCGGGAGAAGGCACGCUGAUAUGUAGGUGAAGCCCCUGCGGGUGGAGCUGAAAUCAGUCGAAGAUACCAGCUGGCUGCAACUGUUUAUUAAAAACACAGCACUGUGCAAACACGAAAGUGGACGUAUACGGUGUGACGCCUGCCCGGUGCCGGAAGGUUAAUUGAUGGGGUUAGCGGCAACGCGAAGCUCUUGAUCGAAGCCCCGGUAAACGGCGGCCGUAACUAUAACGGUCCUAAGGUAGCGAAAUUCCUUGUCGGGUAAGUUCCGACCUGCACGAAUGGCGUAAUGAUGGCCAGGCUGUCUCCACCCGAGACUCAGUGAAAUUGAACUCGCUGUGAAGAUGCAGUGUACCCGCGGCAAGACGGAAAGACCCCGUGAACCUUUACUAUAGCUUGACACUGAACACUGGUCCUUGAUGUGUAGGAUAGGUGGGAGGCUUUGAAGCGUGGACGCCAGUCUGCGUGGAGCCAACCUUGAAAUACCACCCUUUAAUGGCUGGUGUUCUAACGUAGACCCGUAAUCCGGGUUGCGGACAGUGUCUGGUGGGUAGUUUGACUGGGGCGGUCUCCUCCCAAAGAGUAACGGAGGAGCACGAAGGUUAGCUAAUCCUGGUCGGACAUCAGGAGGUUAGUGCAAUGGCAUAAGCUAGCUUGACUGCGAGAGUGACGGCUCGAGCAGGUGCGAAAGCAGGUCAUAGUGAUCCGGUGGUUCUGAAUGGAAGGGCCAUCGCUCAACGGAUAAAAGGUACUCCGGGGAUAACAGGCUGAUACCGCCCAAGAGUUCAUAUCGACGGCGGUGUUUGGCACCUCGAUGUCGGCUCAUCACAUCCUGGGGCUGAAGUAGGUCCCAAGGGUAUGGCUGUUCGCCAUUUAAAGUGGUACGCGAGCUGGGUUUAGAACGUCGUGAGACAGUUCGGUCCCUAUCUGCCGUGGGCGCUGGAGAAUUGAGGGGGGCUGCUCCUAGUACGAGAGGACCGGAGUGGACGCAUCACUGGUGUUCGGGUUGUCAUGCCAAUGGCACUGCCCGGUAGCUAAAUGCGGAAAAGAUAAGUGCUGAAAGCAUCUAAGCACGAAACUUGCCCCGAGAUGAGUUCUCCCUGACUCCUUGAGAGUCCUGAAGGAACGUUGAAGACUACGACGUUGAUAGGUCGGGUGUGUAAGCGCAGCGAUGCGUUGAGCUAACCGAUACUAAUGAACCGUGAGGCUUAACCUUACAACGCCGAAGCUGUU